UUGAACGCUGGCGGCAGGCCUAACACCUGCAAGUCGAACGGUAACAGGAAACAGCUUGCUGUUUCGCUGACGAGUGGCGGACGGGUGAGUAAUGUCUGGGAAACUGCCUGAUGGAGGGGGAUAACUACUGGAAACGGUAGCUAAUACCGCAUAACGUCGCAAGACCAAAGAGGGGGACCUUCGGGCCUCUUGCCAUCGGAUGUGCCCAGAUGGGAUUAGCUUGUUGGUGGGGUAACGGCUCACCAAGGCGACGAUCCCUAGCUGGUCUGAGAGGAUGACCAGCCACACUGGAACUGAGACACGGUCCAGACUCCUACGGGAGGCAGCAGUGGGGAAUAUUGCACAAUGGGCGCAAGCCUGAUGCAGCCAUGCCGCGUGUAUGAAGAAGGCCUUCGGGUUGUAAAGUACUUUCAGCGGGGAGGAAGGGAGUAAAGUUAAUACCUUGGCUCAUUGACGUUACCCGCAGAAGAAGCACCGGCUAACUCCGUG
rnacentral:rRNA from 1 species